rnacentral:snoRNA from 1 species
GAGCACUGCUCGUGGCCUAUAGUCUGGCUGUGACUGAUGGCCUCUAUUCCAGUGGGACAACAGCUCCAGCAACAAGUGACUGACUGACUCGUGGCUCUCAGGGUCAGGUCCUGGGGGCACAG